rnacentral:tRNA from 1 species
GGUUUGUGGAUCAAUGGUAGAGCGCUUGCCUAGCAUGUGUGAGGCACUGGGUUCGAUUAUCAGCACCA